CAGCUGCCUUUUGAAGGGCUAU
rnacentral:miRNA from 1 species